rnacentral:rRNA from 1 species
UACGAAGGGGGCUAGCGUUGUUCGGAGUUACUGGGCGUAAAACGCACGUAGGCGGAUUAGUAAGUCAGGGGUGAAAUCCCGGGGCUCGACCUCGGAACUGCCUUUGAUACUGCUGAUCUCGAGUCCGGAAGAGGUGAAUGGAAUUCCUAGUGUAGAGGUGAAAUUCGUAGAUAUUAGGAAGAACACCAGUGGCGAAGGCGGCUCACUGGUCCGGUACUGACGCUGAGGUGCGAAAGCGUGGGGUGCAAUCAGG